UACGUAGGGCGCAAGCGUUGUCCGGAGUUAUUGGGCGUAAAGAGCUCGUAGGUGGCGUGUCGCGUCUGCCGUGAAAGCCCAUGGCUUAACUGUGGGUCUGCGGUGGAUACGGGCAGGCUGGAGGCUGGUAGGGGCAAGCGGAAUUCCUGGUGUAGCGGUGAAAUGCGCAGAUAUCAGGAGGAACACCGGUGGCGAAGGCGGCUUGCUGGGCCAGUUCUGACGCUGAGGAGCGAAAGCGUGGGGAGCGAACAGG
rnacentral:rRNA from 1 species